GAUAGCCUAGGAGAUACACCUGUACCCAUGCCGAACACAGCAGUUAAGCCCUAGAACGCCUGAAGUAGUUGGGGGUUGCCCCCUGUUAGAUACGGUAGUCGCUUAGCA
rnacentral:rRNA from 1 species